AAACACACCCCUAAAUCCGACCUGUGUAACCCCACUGGUUCUACCACCGGAAAUAAUCUCCACCGGCGGCGGAGCUCCAAACGGCCCCAAAAUUUCACCAUGAACUCCCCUUAGGCUACUCAUCCCAAAUACCUAACCCUUUUCCCUUGAAUCUCAGUCAGUCUUGUCGAAUCUUAAAUCAAAGUUUCGAACCAAAACCAUAAUCCUCCCAAAUCCGGUCAAAAUCGUACCAUACAAUCUCCCUGACCUCCUCUACCCGAAUCCCAACCCAAAACCCUUCAAAUCCUCCUUUAAGUCUUCAUGUCUUGGAUCUAUGGUUUUAAUUACAUUUUGUUCUCAUACGGAUCCAGAUAAUGUUACAUGUUUGUUUGUCAAAAUGAACACCUAAUAUUAUCUAGAAGCUGUAUCAGAAGCCAAUCGAGUGAAUACCAAGUCCUAGUUUGAAGGUUUUAGUCGAGUUUAAUUGGUGAGUUCUUCGUUCUGUUAAUUUCCUUUUCCUCCUUCAUGUGUAAAUUUGAGUUAGGAUUUCAAAUUGAUUUCAGAAUCGUUCAUUGGGGAUUAGUUCGUGUUCAUCUGGGGCUGUUUGGGUCAAUAUAGAUUUUAGGUUUGUUCGGUUGUUAGUCGGAUUAGUGUAGCUUAACAUAGUAAUUAAUAUUCCUACCUUUUCUUAGUGUAGUUAAUAGUUGUUCGUCGAUCCAAUCGUUUGAUUAUUAGCUUAUUUUCUUUUAAUCUGUUUGAAUCUUGUGUGAACUAUUUGAUAUAGUUUAAGAUGUUUUUCUUUUGGUGAUUGUUGAAUGGUUGUAAUUAAUGUGGCUUGGUUCAGUUAGGAUAAUCAGUGGUUGAUGUUAAUAGUAUCUUAGUGUAAUGCUCAGUUCGAUUAGUUAUUAAUUUGAUGAAUUUGGUUAUAGAGGAUAGAUUUAAUUAGGGCAAAAGAGGACUGAAUUCAUUUGGACUUGGAUGGUGAUUCAGGGGGUUAAGGGAUCUUUUGGGGCUUUAUAAUAGGGUGGAAUGCUGUAGAUUAGAAUAGAACUCAUUAGAAUCUUCUAGAAUCCAAAGCUGAAAAUAAAUAGGGACUAGAAAGGAAAACUGAAAAUCUGACUUGCACCUCCGUUUGCCUAUAAAAAGGCUUCUCUAUUGCCUUCACACACAAGUUUUGAGCUCCAAAGUUCCCCCCAAAAGUGUGUUCUUCAAGUUUCAGAUCUAGAAUUUGAAAUUAAAACUCAAAGCUCCAAAAACAAUAGAAAAUUUUCAAAAAUAAAUUAGAAACUAUUCUGUUGGAAAUGAUAGUCCAGUCUCGAGUGUAGCCAUUAGUUUGUUUCUCUUCAUUCAUGAAUUGAUAGUUGAAAAUUGAUGGGAUUGGGUUUUUGUUUUGAAUUAGAUUGGGUUUCAAUCGAGUCUAGUUGGGUUAUUUUGAUUGCUGAAGGUUUGAUUUGCGGAUGAGUUGCCUGAUUGUCACUCAAUUUCUAAAUCUCCUUGUGAUUCCAGGCUGAUUGAGCUUUGUUCAUUUUUUGCUGACCUCCUUUUUUUCUUCCUGGCAUUUUCAUCUCCAGGUACACAAUUGUUCCCUGACGAUUAUGAACUGAAUUGUGCAAAGACAAGUUUAUGUGAAGAAUGAAUUCGCUUGAAGAGUUUAACAUUGAUUUUGUCCAUUUCUGUACUUGUAUAUUCAACGUUUGUCUUAUAGAUGUUGUUUAAAUUUUGGCUUGGGUUUUGUACUAAAUGAACUGUCAAAUUAGAUUAGUAGUUCGUGUUAAUUUGAGCUUUGAUAUGGUCAUUAAUGUUUAGUAUUGAUUCUCCUGUGGGUUUGAAGUUUGACUUAAGGUGAAUUGAAGUCAGAAUUAAUUAGCUGUAUGCAUGCCAUGGGACAAUAGUUAACCAUUUUAAUUAGUUAAGCUUCUCCCUAAUUGUCUGUGUUAAUUCAUAGCUCAAACGAUUCCAUUUGACUACUUGCUCAAAAUCUAGCUGUUGUAUAAACGUGAAGUAAGCUAUUCAAGUCAUGGUUAAAAUUAGAUAGUAAUUGAAUCCACGACCUUGAAUUUAGGAGUGUCUCGUUGCCAGUUGGUGAAAACGGGAGUCAAACUUAGAAUGAUAAUGUAGUGCUAUAUGUGGU
rnacentral:lncRNA from 1 species